rfam:Brugia malayi, FR3, WGS project CAPY01000000 data, contig: ctg1512525m
AAGAAGAUUGCUGAGUUUAACUCUAAUCUGACUUUGUAACAAAUCAUGGGAGGUAUGGCAUAUGGUUUUUUAUCUAUAUAUAUAUAUACAAAUACAGCACUGAAAUGCCACUUUCAUUAAUAUAUUAAAUUAAGCCACUAACCCAAGCUAGCUUGGAUAUGAUGGAAACCUCUCGUAGAGUAAAAGGGUAAAAGCUCAUUUGAUCUUGAUUUCCAGUAGAAAUAUAAACUACGAAAACAUGACAUAUUGAUCCUUUUCAAUUUCUUAGGAAGGGGUGUCAGAAAAGUUGUUACAGAAAUGAAUAAAACGAGCCUGUCACAUAGCGAUAUUUCGGUGUCCACUGUCCCUAUCAAAAAAUAAAAUUACAAACAAAAUUCACCAAAUGUUGGAUUAUCCAUCCACCACUAAGGAGGAAUAUGGGCUAUUUUAUAUCAUACUGAAAUAGGUUAGUUUU